rnacentral:SRP_RNA from 10 species
UCAGGUGUGCACGUGCCUGUAGUCCUAGCUACUGGGGAGGGUGAGGUGGGAAGAUCAUUUGAGCCCAGGAGUUCUGGGCUUUAGUGCACAAUGCUAAUUGGGUGUCCACACUAAAUUUGGCAUCAACAUGGUGACCUCCCAGGAGUGAGGAAUCACCAGUUUGCCUAAGGAGGGGUGAACUGGCCCAGAUCAGAAAUGAAGCACUUCCGUGCUGGUCAGUAGAGGGAUCAUGCCUGUGAACAGCCAUUGCACUGCAGCCUGGGCGACAAGAGGGAAACUCCGUCU